AAGUCGUAACAAGGUUUCUGUAGGUGAACCUGCGGAAGGAUCAUUACCUAGAGUUUGUGGGCUUUGCCCGCUACCUCUUACCCAUGUCUUUUGAGUACUUACGUUUCCUUGGCGGGUUCGCCUGCCGACUGGACAAAAUUAAACCCUUUGCAGUUGCAAUCAGCGUCUGAAAAACAUAAUAGUUACAACUUUCAACAACGGAUCUCUUGGUUCUG
rnacentral:misc_RNA from 1 species